AUUGAACGCUGGCGGCAUGCCUUACACAUGCAAGUCGAACGGUAACGCGGGGCAACCUGGCGACGAGUGGCGAACGGGUGAGUAAUGCAUCGGAACGUGCCCAGUUGUGGGGGAUAACUGCUCGAAAGAGCAGCUAAUACCGCAUACGACCUGAGGGUGAAAGCGGGGGAUCGCAAGACCUCGCGCAAUUGGAGCGGCCGAUGUCGGAUUAGCUAGUUGGUGGGGUAAAGGCCCACCAAGGCGACGAUCCGUAGCUGGUCUGAGAGGACGACCAGCCACACUGGGACUGGGACACGGCCCAGACUCCUACGGGAGGCAGCAGUGGGGAAUUUUGGACAAUGGACGCAAGUCUGAUCCAGCCAUGCCGCGUGCGGGAAGAAGGCCCUCGGGUUGUAAACCGCUUUUGUUAGGGAAGAAAUCUUCUGGGUUAAUACCUCGGGAGGGUGACGGUACCUGAAGAAUAAGCACCGGCUAACUACGUGCCAGCCGCCACCGUAACAC
rnacentral:rRNA from 1 species